UCCCUGGUGGCUCAGACGGUGAAAGCAUCUGCCUACAGUGCGGGAGACCUGGGUUCGAUCCCUGGCUUGGGAA
rnacentral:tRNA from 1 species